rnacentral:rRNA from 1 species
UAAUACGAACUGUGCGAACGUUAUUCGGAAUCACUGGGCUUAAAGGGUGCGUAGGCGGGUUUGAAGGUCUGAUGUGAAAGCCCACGGCUCAACCGUGGAAUUGCGUUGGAAACCACAAGCCUUGAGGAGAUCAGAGGUGAGCGGAACUGAUGGUGGAGCGGUGAAAUGCGUUGAUAUCAUCAGGAACACCGGUGGCGAAAGCGGCUCACUGGGAUCUUUCUGACGCUGAGGCACGAAAGCUAGGGGAGCGAACGGGAUUAGAUACCCCGGUAGUCCUAGCUGUAAACGAUCAGUACUAGUCCGUGGGGACUCCCACAUCCUCUCGGACGUAGCGAAAGUGUUAAGUACUGCGCCUGGGGAGUAUGGUCGCAAGGCUGAAACUCAAAGGAAUUGACGGGGGCUCACACAAGCGGUGGAGGAUGUGGCUUAAUUCGAGGAUACGCGAAGAACCUUACCUAGACUUAACAUGUUUGGGAACGCCUGUGAAAGCAGGAAGUGCCUUUCGGGGAACCCUUACGUAGGUGCUGCAUGGCUGUCGUCAGCUCGUGUCGUGAGAUGUCGGGUUAAGUCCCUUAACGAGCGAAACCCUUGUCCUUAGUUGCCAGCGAGUAAUGUCGGGGACUCUAAGGGACUGCCGGUGUUAAACCGGGGGAAGGUGGGGAUGACGUCAAGUCCUCAUGGCCUUUAUGUCUAGGGCUGCACACGUCCUACAAUGCACUAUACAAAGCGAUGCGAAACCGUGAGGUCAAGCAAACCGCAAAAAGUAGUGCCUAGUUCGGAUUGCAGGCUGAAAUUCGCCUGCAUGAAGCCGGAAUCGCUAGUAAUCGCGGUCAGCAUACCUGCGAUGAUUGUGUUCCUGGACCAUGUACACACCGCCCAGUCAGCCACGAAAGUUGGGCGUGGCCGAGUCCGCGGAUGCUACUCGUGAGGGCUAGCGCCGAGUCACCUCGAUGAUGGUACUAAGUCGUA